GUAGCGCUCCCUUUUGGGAUCAACGAGCUGUGUGGCGCCUGUGCGGCUUCUGAGAGACCGGCUGGUGGCGCUUGGCGGCUUCCUGCCAAUCCACCCUUCUCCUCCCGCGCAAGGGGGCAAUCCCAAUCCCACCACCGGGAACACCCAGGCCAAAAGAACGGGAGUUACACUCAAAGUCUUCCCCCUUCUUAUCACUCCUGCCGAUUUCCCUCUUCCUUUUUGCACGCCUCCACUCUUCCCCACCGGAAACGCCGCCCCUUCCUCCUACAGUUCCUCCCAGCAGUCCCUCAACGCCUGUCUUCCCUCGCGCGUAGAGAGUGACUCGAAGGACCCCCUCUCCUCUUCGCUGCAGCCCCUCCCCAUGCACGCUGGGAGACUCUUGGAGGGGAUAAGGUGGGGCCCGGAGAGGAAGAGAAGACAAUCGGAUUGGAUAGGCAGCUGCCAUGGCAACUGGAGGCUGUGGUUAUAUUGUCAUAGUAACCGAUGUGUGCGGACAGGGUCACCCUCCCCUUGGCCAAUGGAUUCCCAGGAAACCACCCAGGGUUCCCCGUUGGCUUCCCUUCCAUCUAAAGGCCUCCCCCAAGUUAGGAAUCGAUAUAGUUCUCCCCGGUGGUGAAGUCCACUUCCUCCUCCCUUCCCACUUCCCACAGCAACUGGGGGGACACCCCGAGGCAUUCACCAUGGGCUUUUCCACCCGCCUGCGAGCGGGAACCACCUCCGUAGUUUCCUCUCAGAGCCGGGCGUGGAGAGGGCUGGGCCUGCGAAGAGGAUGCAUGGCCUGGAGGCUGGCGGGCGGCGGGCUGGAGUCGGGAGGGCGAGGCGACAGCGCCAAGCGGCGAGGAAGGGCAAGGGGUUUCCCCACAACUGCCUUGGGCUCUGGGAGGCGGGAUCCCGCCUGGACGGGGUCCCUGAGGGAGGAGAGCGGCACACGACAGCCGCGAUGCCUUCCCUGCCGACGGGGAUAGCCGACUUCUGGUUUCGGGCCAAAAAGCUGAAAUAAAGAACGAAGUCAAUAAUAAUAUGAAGUGUAUGAGAAAUAGCUGGAAAAUUCAUCAUCCAUGACUUGAAGAAAUUGACGUUUUACAAGUUAUAUUUUCGGUGAAGAGGCACUUUCAAGAUCCUUCUCUGAGACCUGCACCAAUAAGACUAUACCAAUGUUCAGUUGAAACAUCAGGUAUAAGUUUAGCGGAAACGAAAGUACAACCUGCUUUGAAAUAAAUUCCAAGGACAGAUUGUCAUUAACGAAAUAGAAAGUGGACUAUGCCCCUCAUGCUGCCAGCGCCUGGUAUGGUGCGGCGUGACACGCAGCGCUUGCGGCAGUACAAUGCCCCCAAUCACCCGCCCCGCCCCGACGCGCCGCCCACUCACGGCAAAGAGAGCCACCUAGUGAGGGAUUAUUCUCAUUUCCGCGGUGGGGUUCUGCUUUUCUUUCUACCAUGAGCGCCCAAGGAUAGACACUCCUACUACCUAUUACCUCAAAUAGCCUACAUUUCUUUCCGAAAAUUUAUUGGUUAGAUAUUUUUCUUUUUUUUUUUUAAUUUAAAGACCAGUGUGAUCGUGUAUUGGUUAGAUUUUUUAAUUGGUUAGAUUUCAACCAGAAUAAAAAUUGUAAUAAUUACCCCCUUACUAAUCAUGGUAAUAGCCAUUUAUGUCUGUGGCACAUAUCUCCAAUAAAGAGUGUAUGAACAGUUAUCAUACAUUCCUGAUAAGCAAUCUAGGAAAAUAUUACUACUAUCUUCUCAUUUUGGAAAUAGAGAAACGGAACACUGUUCUGGUUAUGAUGGACACCACAGUGAAAGAGACCUGGUCCCUGCCUUGAGGAAACCCAACUGCUGGUAGAGAGCUCAGAGUAAUGAUUAGGAUGCAAUAUGAGGGAUGCAGUAAUUGGGGUAAGAACAAAGUAGGAACACAUGAGGUCAGAAAUAAUAAAGUCUGUGUUUUAUAGCAGCUUUCCUAAGAAUCUUAUAAGAGUCUUCAAUAGCUUUACAAUAUCUCUAGCUAAAUAGAAGAAUAGUAGUAUAUUUUAGAGAUUAGAAGACUUUGAUACUAAUAUUAAAAUUACCUUCAAAAAUCAAUAGGACUCAGAAAAAUUAUUACCUUCUAUUUAUAUACUGUUUAAUACACAUUUUCCAUUUUCAUCUAUUUCCACUUGUCCUAGUCAACAAACUUGUAGAA
rnacentral:lncRNA from 1 species